rnacentral:rRNA from 1 species
AGUUUGAUCCUGGUUCAGAUUGAACGCUGGCGGGAUGCUUUACACAUGCAAGUCGAACGGCAGCACGGACUUCGGUCUGGUGGCGAGUGGCGAACGGGUGAGUAAUGUAUCGGAACGUGUCAUAAAGGGAUAACUACGCGAAAGCGUAGCUAAUACUGCAUACGACUUCGGGUGGCGGGGACCUUCGGGCCUCGCACUAAUAGAGUGCUGUCGAUAUCGGAUUUAGCUAGUUGGUGGGGUAACGGUCACAUGGCGACGAUCCGUAGCUGGUUUGAGGACGACCAGCCACACUGACUGAGACACGGCCCAGACUCCUACGGGAGGCAGCAAUUUCUGGACACGUAAAAAACCUCCUGAUCCAGCCAUCCUGCGUGCGGCUUAAGGCCUUCGCCAGCACCUUUGGCAGAAAAAGAAACGGCACGGGAUAAGUCACCUGUGCAACUGACGGUACCUGCAGGCGCACCGGCUAACUACGUGCCAGCAGCCGCGGUAAUACGUAGGGGUAAGCGUUAAUCGAAUUACUGGGCGAAGCGUGCGCAGGCGGUUCGGAAAGAUGUGAAAUCCCAGAGCUUAACUUUGGAACCGCAUUUUUAACUACCGAGCUAGAGUGUGUCAGAGGAGGUGGAAUUCCGCGUAGCAGUGAAAUGCGUAGAUAUGCGGAGGAACACCGAUGGCGAAGGCAGCCUCCUGGGAUAACACUGACGCUCAUGCACGAAAGCGUGGGGAGCAAACAGGAUUAGAUACCCUGGUAGUCCACGCCCUAAACGAUGUCAACUAGCUGUUGGGGCCUUCGGGCCUGGUGGCGCAGCUAACGCGUGAAGUUGACCGCCUGGGGAGUACGGUCGCAAGAUUAAAACUCAAAGGAAUUGACGGGGACUCGCACAAGCUGGUGGAUGAUGUGAUUAAUCUGAUGCACCGCGAAAAAACUUCCUACUCACCCUUGACAUGUCUGAAUCCCUGAAGAGAUUUGGGAGUGCUCGCAAGAGAACCGGAACACAGGUGCUGCAUGGCUGUCGUCAGUCGUGUCGUGAGAUGUUGGGUUAAGUCCCAACGAGCAACCCCUUGUCAUUAGUUGCUAUGAAAGGGCACUCUAAAUGAGAUCGUCGGUGACAACCGGAUAGCGUGGACAGACGUCAAGUCCUCAUGGCCUUGUUAUGGUAGGGCUUCACACGUCAUACAAUGGUCGGGACAGCGGCUCGCCAACCCAGGCGAGGGGGAGCCAAUCCCAGAAACCCGAUCGUAGUCCGGAUCGCAGUCUGCAACUCGGAUCAGUGAAGUCGGAAUCGCUAGUAAUCGAUCAGCAUGUCGCGGUGAAUACGUUCCCGGGUCUUGUACACACCGCCCGUCACACCAUGGGAGUGGGUUUUACCAGAAGUAGUUAGGUCAACUCGUAAGGAGGGCGAUUACCGGUAGAUUCAUGACUGGUGAAGUCGUGAACAAGGUAG